AUAAAAAGUUUGGGGAGCUCAUGUUAUGGGCUGAGAAAGGGCUUUUGAGUACCUGACCCAUGAACCUGAUCGGGGUAAUGCCCGCGUAGGGAAGGUAUAGUGAAAAAAG
rfam:Desulfotomaculum gibsoniae DSM 7213, complete genome.